UACGGAGGAUCCGAGCGUUAUCCGGAUUUAUUGGGUUUAAAGGGUGCGCAGGCGGGAGAUUAAGUCGGCGGUGAAAUUUUGCAGCUCAACUGUAAAAGUGCCUUCGAAACUGGUUUCCUUGAGUGUAGAUGAAGUAGGCGGAAUUUGUGGUGUAGCGGUGAAAUGCAUAGAUAUCACGAGGAACUCCGAUUACGCAGGCAGCUUACUAAACUACUACUGACGCUCAGGCACGAAGGCGUGGGGAUCAAACAGGAUUAGAUACCCGCGUAGU
rnacentral:rRNA from 1 species